AUGUGAAAUCCCCGAGCUUAACUUGGGAAUUGCAUCUGAGACUGGUUGGCUAGAGUCUUGUAGAGGGGGGUAGAAUUCCAUGUGUAGCGGUGAAAUGCGUAGAGAUGUGGAGGAAUACCGGUGGCGAAGGCGGCCCCCUGGACAAAGACUGACGCUCAGGUGCGAAAGCGUGGGGAGCAAACAGGAUUAGAUACCCUGGUAGUCCACGCUGUAAACGAUGUCGAUUUGGAGGUUGUGCUCUUGAAGCGUGGCUUCUGGAGCUAACGCGUUAAAUCGACCGCCUGGGGAGUACGGCCGCAAGGUUAAAACUCAAAUGAAUUGACGGGGGGCCCGCACAAGCGGUGGAGCAUGUGGUUUAAUUCGAUGCAACGCGAAGAACCUUACCUACUCUUGACAUCCAGAGAAUUCGGUCAGAGAUGCAGGAGUGCCUUCGGGAACUCUGAGACAGGUGCUGCAUGGCUGUCGUCAGCUCGUGUUGUGAAAUGUUGGGUUUAAGUCCCGCAACGAGCGCAACCCUUAUCCUUUGUUUGCCAGCCAAGUCAUGUCUGGACAC
rnacentral:rRNA from 1 species